rnacentral:rRNA from 1 species
UACAGAGGGGGCAAGCGUUGUUCGGAAUUACUGGGCGUAAAGGGCGCGUAGGCGGCCUGUUAAGUCGAACGUGAAAUCCCCGGGCUCAACCCGGGAACUGCGUCCGAUACUGGCAGGCUUGAAUCCGGGAGAGGGAUGCGGAAUUCCAGGUGUAGCGGUGAAAUGCGUAGAUAUCUGGAGGAACACCGGUGGCGAAGGCGGCAUCCUGGACCGGCAUUGACGCUGAGGAGCGAAAGCCAGGGGAGCAAACGGGG